UGGGGAAUCUUGGACAAUGGGGGCAACCCUGAUCCAGCCAUGCCGCGUGAGUGAUGAAGGCCUUAGGGUCGUAAAGCUCUUUCGCCUGUGAAGAUAAUGACGGUAGCAGGUAAAGAAACCCCGGCUAACUCCGUGCCAGCAGCCGCGGUAAUACGGAGGGGGUUAGCGUUGUUCGGAAUUACUGGGCGUAAAGCGCACGUAGGCGGACCAGAAAGUUGGGGGUGAAAUCCCGGGGGCUCAACCCCGGAACUGCCUCCAAAACUAUUGGUCUAGAGUUCGAGAGAGGUGAGUGGAAUUCCAAGUGUAGAGGUGAAAUUCGUAGAUAUUUGGAGGAACACCAGUGGCGAAGGCGGCUCACUGGCUCGAUACUGACGCUGAGGUGCGAAAAGUGUGGGGAGCAAAACAGGAUUAGAUACCCCUGGUAGUCCACACCGUAAAACGAUGAAUGCCAGUCGUCGGGUAGCAUGCUAUUCGGUGACACACCUAACGGAUUAAGCAUUCCGCCUGGGGAGUACGGUCGCAAGAUUAAAACUCAAAGGAAUU
rnacentral:rRNA from 1 species